AAAAUUAUACCCAAGGACAAGGGUUAAGGAUGGAUAAAGGUCGAGGACAAGACCUAGGGAAUGAUGAUGGUCGAGGUUAAGGCCGAAGGAAGGAUUUAUUUAUUUAUUUACAUUAUUUAUUUAUUCAUUUUAUUUAUUUAUAUAAAGGUCGAGGACAAGACCUAGGGAAUGAUGAUGGUCGAGGUUAAGGCCGAAGGAAGGAUUUAUUUAUUUAUUUACAUUAUUUAUUUAUUUAUUUUAUUUAUUUGUAUAAAGGUCGAGGACAAGACCUAAGGAAUGAUGAUGGUCGAGGUUAAGGCCGAAAGAAGGAUUUAUUUAUUUAUUUUAUUUAUAUAAAGGUCGAGGACAAGACCUAAGGAAUGAUGAUGGUCGAGGUUAAGGCCGAAGGAAGGAUUUAUUUAUUUAUUUAUUUUAUUUAUUUAUUUAUAUAAAGGUCGAGGAUAAGACCUAAGGAUUGAUGAUGGUCGAGGACAAGACCUAGGGAUUGAUGAUGGUCGAGGACAAGACCAAAGGAUGGAUAAAGGUCGAGGACGAGACCUAGGGAUUGAUGAUGGUCGAGGAUAAGACCAAAGGAUGGAUAAAGGUCGAGGACGAGACCUAGGGAUUGAUGAUGGUCGAGGACAAGACCAAAGGAUGGAUAAAGGUCGAGGACGAGACCUAGGGAUUGAUGAUGGUCGAGGACAAGACCAAAGGAUGGAUAAAGGUCGAGGACGAGACCUAGGGAUUGAUGAUGGUCGAGGACAAGACCAAAGGAUGGAUAAAGGUCGAGGACGAGACCUAGGAAUUGAUGAUGGUCGAGGACAAGACCAAAGGAUGGAUAAAGGUCGAGGACGUGACCUAGAGAUUGAUGAUGGUCAAGGAUAAGACCAAAGGAUUUAUGAAGGUCGAGGCUAAGACCGAAGGAAGGAUUGAUGAUGGUUGAAUUCAAGAACUAAGGGGUGAAAAGUCGAGGUCAAGACUUAAUGGAUGGAUGAAGAUUGAAGUUAAAACCUGGUGCAUGAGGACAAGGGCGUCAAUGACUUUGGAAAUUCUUUGGACAUUACGUUGUGAUGUAUGUGUACAACCUGAAAGCUAAACUGCAACUUGAAGAAUGAUAUCAAAGGAAACCAAGGACAGCAUCUUAUUUAAUGAACAUAAGCAAAAAGUUAAUGAGGGAAAGUACUCAAAAAAAAAAGGUUGAGGAAAAAAACAAAACUUUCAGAAUCCUUUCUUAGUGACGAAGACGAUGCUAAGCUUCUUAUAGAAAUCGUAAACGAGUCUGUUACGGUGAAUCUUUGAAACAAUAUUAUUAUGCUGAAAUUAAUAUUUUGUGAUGAAAGAACAAGUGAACAAAGUGUAUUUCAAGAAAGACUAAGAUGGACAAUUUCAUAGUAUAUAAGAUAAUUAAUAAGUUUAGAAUAAAAGUAAACUACUUAUUAGUCAUAAUAUUAGGCUAGGUGGCAGUACAAUUGAGUAGCUUAUUAGCUCAUACUCAUAUUAAGAAAAAAAAAAAAAUUUUUUUUUCAAACAAUAAAUGCAAAAUAAAUGACGCACUGUAAUACUGUAAUACGAUUUUCUAAGACUGAAUCAGUUUUAAAGUAGUUUAGAACUGAAAAUCGACAAUUUGAGUAAAAUUGGUUGGAAUAAGCUUUUGAUUAGAUGUACUAAUUCUGUGAUGGAAUGAGUUGAUGUCGAAUUGUUACAGUAAUGAAAUCAACAAUGAAAUUUUUCUCUUUCACAUAAAAAUGUAAACAAGUAUCAGCAGUUAGUGUUAACGAUAAAGCGAUUGAUAAGUACAUAAUGAAUGUGAAUUUGAAUAGCCGGCUUUCACUGAUCAGGAUAAGUGAUGUCAAACUACUCAAUUCAAGACUUAAUUACCGACAUAGACUUGGCAAUGUAAGGAAAUUUAGGGCUUGAUAGUUGCUGAUAGGGCUUGAUAAUUGCUGAUAGGGCUUAAAGGUUCAAAAUAUUAAAGAAGAUGUUGGCAUUUCUGUAAUUGAGUAUCAUGUGAAUACUUGUGUGAAAAUACCAAAAUUAAUUAUUGAAAUUUUGUUUCAAUUACUGUGUAUUAUGUUUUGGCAAUGUGUACAAUUUUAUGCGGGGUUUUUUUUUUUUUUAAAUGAAUUAAGAAAGAUCAAAAGAAGUAAUUUGCAGUUAAAAGAUUGAAUCGCGAAGGGACUCGCGCUUAACAGGAAGGCCGAGCUGUUAAGGUCGUAUGCUUAUUAUUGAGAUUAAUUAUUAAUAUGUGAUAUAAUUCUAUACUUUCAUGGUAUUUUUUUUAGUUUAAAAAGAUUAAAACGCGAAGGGACUCGCGCUUAACAGGAAGGCCGAGCUGUUAGGGUCGUAUGCUUAUUAUUGAGAUUAAUUACUAAUAUGUGAUAUAAUUCUAUGUAUAAUAAUAUUAAUUAAGAGCUUAUGAGGCGCAUGAUGUAUGAAUUGUAUGUCUGUAUAACUUACCUUAGUUAAUAAUAUAAAAUUAAUGUCAUUAGUAAAACCUCUUUGAAAUGGAUUGCAUAAACGAUUAUAAAAACUAUAAUGUCAUAAAAUGUAUUCGAAGUUCGAUUCGGGGUUGACAUUGGAGUAAGAAGACAAGAUGGAACAGAAUAUGUUUUUAUAGUGCAAAUGUUCGACGAAAUGUUAAUUUAAUUUAAUAUUAAUAAAUGAUAAGAGAAGUAAGAUUGUAAAAUAGAAUGAUAAAGUAAUAAAUGAGUUGUAAAUAUU